AGAGUUUGAUCCUGGCUCAGGAUGAACGCUGGCGGCGUGCCUAACACAUGCAAGUCGAACGAGGUAAAUGAGAUGAAGUUUUCGGAUGGAUUCUUAUUUACCGAGUGGCGGACGGGUGAGUAACGCGUGGGUAACCUGCCUCAUACAGGGGGAUAACGGUUAGAAAUGACUGCUAAUACCGCAUAAGCGCACAGUACCGCAUGGUACGGUGUGAAAAACUCCGGUGGUAUGAGAUGGACCCGCGUCUGAUUAGCUAGUUGGUGGGGUAACGGCCCACCAAGGCGACGAUCAGUAGCCGACCUGAGAGGGUGACCGGCCACAUUGGGACUGAGACACGGCCCAGACUCCUACGGGAGGCAGCAGUGGGGGAUAUUGCACAAUGGAGGAAACUCUGAUGCAGCGACGCCGCGUGAGUGAAGAAGUAUUUCGGUAUGUAAAGCUCUAUCAGCAGGGAAGAAAUGAGCGGUACCUGACUAAGAAGCCCCGGCUAACUACGUGCCAGCAGCCGCGGU
rnacentral:rRNA from 1 species